AGACCACACACCAGAGGGAUAUUAUGAUGUCAUUGCCAGUGGACAAAACUAUGGUACAGGAAAAGUGGACACAACAGAGGAUUAUGAUGAUGUCAUCAUUAAUGGACAGUGCUCUCACAGUGUAACAGAGGGAGAUCAGGAGGAGUAUGAUGAUGCAUGGAGUAUCACUGAAGAUGUGAGAAACCUGUUAGACUAUGAUGAUGUGGGGGAG